rnacentral:rRNA from 1 species
GCAGGCCUAACACAUGCAAGUCGAGCGGUAGCACAGAGAGCUUGCUCUCGGGUGACGAGCGGCGGACGGGUGAGUAAUGUCUGGGAAACUGCCUGAUGGAGGGGGAUAACUACUGGAAACGGUAGCUAAUACCGCAUAACGUCGCAAGACCAAAGUGGGGGACCUUCGGGCCUCAUGCCAUCAGAUGUGCCCAGAUGGGAUUAGCUAGUAGGUGGGGUAACGGCUCACCUAGGCGACGAUCCCUAGCUGGUCUGAGAGGAUGACCAGCCACACUGGAACUGAGACACGGUCCAGACUCCUACGGGAGGCAGCAGUGGGGAAUAUUGCACAAUGGGCGCAAGCCUGAUGCAGCCAUGCCGCGUGUGUGAAGAAGGCCUUCGGGUUGUAAAGCACUUUCAGCGGGGAGGAAGGCGUUAAGGUUAAUAACCUUGGCGAUUGACGUUACCCGCAGAAGAAGCACCGGCUAACUCCGUGCCAGCAGCCGCGGUAAUACGGAGGGUGCAAGCGUUAAUCGGAAUUACUGGGCGUAAAGCGCACGCAGGCGGUCUGUCAAGUCGGAUGUGAAAUCCCCGGGCUCAACCUGGGAACUGCAUUCGAAACUGGCAGGCUAGAGUCUUGUAGAGGGGGGUAGAAUUCCAGGUGUAGCGGUGAAAUGCGUAGAGAUCUGGAGGAAUACCGGUGGCGAAGGCGGCCCCCUGGACAAAGACUGACGCUCAGGUGCGAAAGCGUGGGGAGCAAACAGGAUUAGAUACCCUGGUAGUCCACGCCGUAAACGAUGUCGAUUUGGAGGUUGUGCCCUUGAGGCGUGGCUUCCGGAGCUAACGCGUUAAAUCGACCGCCUGGGGAGUACGGCCGCAAGGUUAAAACUCAAAUGAAUUGACGGGGGCCCGCACAAGCGGUGGAGCAUGUGGUUUAAUUCGAUGCAACGCGAAGAACCUUACCUGGUCUUGACAUCCACAGAACUUUCCAGAGAUGGAUUGGUGCCUUCGGGAACUGUGAGACAGGUGCUGCAUGGCUGUCGUCAGCUCGUGUUGUGAAAUGUUGGGUUAAGUCCCGCAACGAGCGCAACCCUUAUCCUUUGUUGCCAGCGGUCCGGCCGGGAACUCAAAGGAGACUGCCAGUGAUAAACUGGAGGAAGGUGGGGAUGACGUCAAGUCAUCAUGGCCCUUACGACCAGGGCUACACACGUGCUACAAUGGCAUAUACAAAGAGAAGCGACCUCGCGAGAGCAAGCGGACCUCAUAAAGUAUGUCGUAGUCCGGAUUGGAGUCUGCAACUCGACUCCAUGAAGUCGGAAUCGCUAGUAAUCGUAGAUCAGAAUGCUACGGUGAAUACGUUCCCGGGCCUUGUACAC